rnacentral:rRNA from 1 species
GGACUACCCGGGUAUCUAAUCCUGUUUGCUCCCCACGCUUUCGUGUCUCAGCGUCAGUACUCGUCCAGUUGGCCGCCUUCGCCACCGGUGUUCCUCUCGAUAUCUACGAAUUUCACCUCUACACCGAGAAUUCCACCAACCUCUCCGGUACUCGAGCUAAGCAGUAUCGAGUGCACUUCCCGGGUUGAGCCCGGGGCUUUCACAUCCGACUUACCUAGCCGCCUACACACGCUUUACGCCCAGUAAUUCCGAACAACGUUUGCACCCUCUGUCUUACCGCGGCUGCUGGCAC